rnacentral:rRNA from 1 species
AUACGUAGGGUGCAAGCGUUGUUCGGAAUUAUUGGGUGUAAAGCGGAUGUAGGUGGCUUAUUAAGCCAGAUGUGAAAGCCCGGGGCUUAACCCCGGACGUGCAUUUGGAACUGGUAAGCUAGAGUGUGUUAUGGGAGUGCGGAAUUCCUGGUGUAGCGGUGAAAUGCGUAGAUAUCAGGAGGAACAUUCGUGGCGAAGGCGGCGCUCUGGGGCGACACUGACACUGAGAUCCGAAAGCAUGGGUAGCAAACAGGAUUAGAAACCCCUGUAGUCC